rnacentral:rRNA from 1 species
AACCUGCGGAAGGAUCAUUAAUGAAGGAACUUUUUCAAAGUUUUUUUCAUAUUCCCCAUGUUUAUAUUAUAUACGUUCCUUCCAUCGGACAGGUCUUUAGGACCCUCUAGCUUGGGCAAAUGCACUUGUUGGGGAGCUGCCGGUGGCGUUUCUAAAAAAAAACAAAAAACCUUUUUGUCAUCAUAAAACUGUCUGAAUUACUUUAUUGAACCAAAUAAAACUUUCAACAACGGAUCUCUAGGCUCUUGCAUCGAUGAAGAACGCAGUGAAAUGCGAUAAGUAAUGUGAAUUGCAGAAUCUCGUGAAUCAUCGAAUCUUUGAACGCACAUUGCGCCCUAUGGUAUUCCGUAGGGCAUGCCUGUCUGAGCGUCAGCUCCCACCCACUCAAGUCUUUUUUUUAUUAUUAAGAUUUGGAUUACCUUGGGGAAGUGUCACUAUUAGUGCUGCUCCUUAGAAAUUUAUAGGCAGUAUGGUCAAACCUGAACCAGGCGUAAUAAUUGUAUAAAAUCGUCUAUGAAGGAGUGUCUGUAUUAGCCUUUAACCCUAUUUAUUUAUACUUGGGUGACCUCAGAUCAGGUAGGGAUACCCGCUGAACUUAAGCAUAUCA